rnacentral:rRNA from 1 species
AUUGAACGCUGGCGGCAGGCCUAACACAUGCAAGUCGAACGGUAACAGGAAGAAGCUUGCUUCUUUGCUGACGAGUGGCGGACGGGUGAGUAAUGUCUGGGAAACUACCUGAUGGAGGGGGAUAACUACUGGAAACGGUAGCUAAUACCGCAUAACGUCGCAAGACCAAAGAGGGGGACCUUCGGGCCUCUUGCCAUCGGAUGUGCCCAGAUGGGAUUAGCUAGUAGGUGGGGUAACGGCUCACCUAGGCGACGAUCCCUAGCUGGUCUGAGAGGAUGACCAGCCACACUGGAACUGAGACACGGUCCAGACUCCUACGGGAGGCAGCAGUGGGGAAUAUUGCACGAUGGGCGCAAGCCUGAUGCAGCCAUGCCGCGUGUAUGAAGAAGGACUUCGGGUUGUAAAGUACUUUAAGCGGGGAGGAAGGGAGUAAAGUUAAUACCUUUGCUCAUUGACGUUACCCGCAGAAGAAGCACCGGCUAACUCCGUG